rnacentral:ncRNA from 1 species
ACAAACGCUGCGAAAGGGAGUAGUAGGGAAGAGGAAGCGCUCAGAGAGCCGAGGGUUGGUGUGACUCGGACGCUGUAAUCUCCCGAACUCGCCCUGGAGCGGUCGGCCUGAAAUCUUAGUAGGGUCGAACGGUUAGCGCCCGUUAGCGCAUACGAGUGGUCGUCACUAAUAAAGUGGCGGCAACAAGGGUGGUACCACGGGAAGCCCCCGUCCCUUGA